CCGGACACCCUGAGGAUUGACAGGCGAGAGUACUACUAUACUUUAGUAUACUCGAUAUAUAUGUAAGUCCUUUCAUGAUUGUGUGAUAGGUGGUGCAUGGCCGUUCUUAGUUCGUGGAGUGAUCUGUCUGCUUAAUUGCGUUUCAGAUAUUAAAAGGUAAGCUUACUAUAUUAGCGAGGCUUAUGUCACUAUUAUAGUGUCUAGGCUAAGCAGGCUACCUUAUGAAAGCAACGAACGUGACCUCAACUCAAUGUUGUCUCUAUUAUAUAAGAGAGUAUACUUUGAGGACUGCCAGGGCUGUCAACCCGGAGGAAGGAUGAGGCAAUAACAGGUCUGUGAUGCCCUUAGAUGUUCCGGGCUGCACACGUGCUACAAUGAUUGUUGCAGAAAGUAUCUGCUUUAUACUACAAAGACACUAUACUUUAGUAUUGUUGUCUAUAUAGACUUUAUGUCUAUACUAACCUGCCUCGAAAGUACGGCAGGCAAUCAAUUCCAAGUAACAAUCUCUUAUAUGUGUAAGCGCAAGUCAAAAGGGAGUUAUGACUAUACUUUACUGUAUGGUGCACUCUUCCGCGCUCCAAUUGAAUUCGUGGUCGGGACAGACCAUUGUGCAAUUGUUGGUCUCGGUCUCAACUAGGAAUGCCUUGUACGGGUCUUUGGUUCAACAAACCACCCGGAAUACGUCCCUGCCCUUUGUACACACCGCCCGUCGCUCUUACCGAUGGACUAUUCUGUGAGUUAGAGGGACUGGCUAUAUAUAGUCUUUGUACUAUUGGCUAUGGAAACUCCUACGAACAGUGUGGUCUAAAGGAAAGAGAAGUCGUAACAAGGCAUC
rnacentral:rRNA from 1 species